rnacentral:SRP_RNA from 1 species
GCCAGGCACAGUGGCGUGUGCCUGUAGUGCCAGCUACUCAGGAGGCUGAGGCUAGAGGAUUGUUUGAGUCCAGGAGUUCUAGGCUGUUGCGCACUAUGCCGAUCAGGUGUCCACACUAAGUAUGACAUCACUAUGGUGAUCUCCCGGGAGCAGGGGACCACCAGGUUGCCUAAGGAGGGGUGAGCCAGCCCAGCUUGGAAACUGAGCAGGUCAAAACUCCUGUACUGAUCAGUAGAGGGGUUGUGCCUGUGAAUAGCCGCUGCACUCCAGACUGGGCAACAUAUCAAGACCCCAUUU